CAAUACAAGGCGGACGGCUCAGUAACACGUAUGUCAAUCUAACCUAUGGACGAGGAUAACCUCGGGAAACUGAGAAUAAUACUCGAUAGAUCAUAAUGCCUGGAACGGUCUAUGGUUCAAAUGAAUUUCGCCAUAGGGUGGGACUGCGGUCUAUCAGCUUGUUGGUGAGGUAAUGGCCCACCAAGGCUAUAACAGAUACGGGCUCUGAGAGGAGAAGCCCGGAGAUGGGUACUGAGACACGGACCCAGGCCCUAUGGGGCGCAGCAGGCGAGAAAACUUUGCAAUGUGCGAAAGCACGACAAGGUUAAUCCGAGUGAUUCCUGCUAAAGGAAUCUUUUGUUAGUUGUAAUACCACUGAUGAAUAAGGGGUGGGCAAGUUCUGGUGUCAGCCGCCGCGGUAAAACCAGCACCUCAAGUGGUCAGGAGGAUUAUUGGGCCUAAAGCAUCCGUAGCCGGCUCUGUAAGUUUUCGGUUAAAUCUAUAUGCUCAACAUAUAGGCUGCCGGAAAUACUGCAAAACUAUGAAGUGGGAGAAGUAGAC
rnacentral:rRNA from 1 species